rnacentral:rRNA from 1 species
GACGAACGCUGGCGGCGUGCUUAACACAUGCAAGUCGAACGGAAAGGCCCUGCUUUUGUGGGGUGCUCGAGUGGCGAACGGGUGAGUAACACGUGAGUAACCUGCCCUUGACUUUGGGAUAACUUCAGGAAACUGGGGCUAAUACCGGAUAGGAGCUCCUGCUGCAUGGUGGGGUUGGAAAGUUUCGGCGGUUGGGGAUGGACUCGCGGCUUAUCAGCUUGUUGGUGGGGUAGUGGCUUACCAAGGCUUUGACGGGUAGCCGGCCUGAGAGGGUGACCGGCCACAUUGGGACUGAGAUACGGCCCAGACUCCUACGGGAGGCAGCAGUGGGGAAUAUUGCACAAUGGGCGGAAGCCUGAUGCAGCAACGCCGCGUGCGGGAUGACGGCCUUCGGGCUGUAAACCGCUUUCGCCUGUGACGAAGCGUGAGUGACGGUAAUGGGUAAAGAAGCACCGGCUAACUACGUG